UACGUAGGGUGCAAGCGUUGUCCGGAAUUAUUGGGCGUAAAGAGCUCGUAGGCGGUUUGUCGCGUCUGCUGUGAAAACUCGGGGCUUAACCCCGGGCCUGCAGUGGGUACGGGCAGACUAGAGUGCGGUAGGGGAGACUGGAAUUCCUGGUGUAGCGGUGAAAUGUGUAGAGAUCGGGAGGAACACCGGUGGCGAAGGCGGGACUCUGGGCCUACCCUGACGCUGAGGCGCGAAGGCGUGGGGAGCAAACGGG
rnacentral:rRNA from 1 species